rnacentral:rRNA from 1 species
UACGUAGGGUGCGAGCGUUAAUCGGAAUUACUGGGCGUAAAGCGUGCGCAGGCGGUUCGCCAAGUCAGGUGUGAAAUCCCCGGGCUUAACUCCGGUUCUGCAUUCGAUACGGGCUAGCUAGAGUGUGGUAGGGGAGAUCGGAAUUCCUGGUGUAGCGGUGAAAUGCGCAGAUAUCAGGAGGAACACCGGUGGCGAAGGCGGAUCUCUGGGCCGUAACUGACGCUGAGGAGCGAAAGCAUGGGGAGCGAACAGG